ACCAAUAGAGAAAGGGUUAAUUGGCACAGCCAGCCCAGUCUGAUUGCAAAACCUUGUUCCUAACCAUUUACCUUCAUCCGUUCGUUCUCUGAUUUGUUCAGCAAUUAAUUAGCUCAUUUAAUAUUGUGUAAAGAUUGUGUUUCAGGUCUGUACUGGAAGCUGGAGAUGCCAAAGGAAGUAGGAUGUUGCUUCUACCCUCCGGGAGCUCACAGUCGUGUGUGUGUGUGUGUGUGUGUGUGUGUGUGUGUGUGUCCAGGGUGGUGAGCAGGGAGGGGACAGGAAAUCAAUUGCCGUUUAGUGGUUUAAGGCCAAGGUGGAGAUAAAUGUUGCUUGUUGUGGAACCACAAGGGGCAGGAACUUAAUCAGUCUACAGAGUCAGCAUGCAGAGUGGCUUUUUGGAAGAAGUGAAGACCAAGCAGAGAUUUAAAAGAAUGAGUAAACUCACCGUUAGUCCUCAAGGAGGUGGAAAUUAAAACCACAAUAUGAUACCACUACACACUUAGUAGAAUGUCAAGAAAUGAAAUACCUACGUACAGCACAACCACACAAACCAAAUGCGAACUGGUAAGGAAGUGGAGCAACUCGAAUUCUCAUGUAUUGGGCUAGGGAUACAAACUAUCACAGCAGUUCUGGAAUACAGUUUGGCAGUUUCUUAUAAAGUUAUACAUGUAGCAGUCCCACUCCUAGGUAUUUUCCCAAGUGAAAUGAAGACUUAUGUGCACACAAAACCCUCUACGCAAAUGUUUAUAGUGGCUUUGUUCAUAAUCUCCCCGAACUGGAAAAAAACCAAAUGUCCUAACCACAGGCUGAAAGGACAAAUAAAUUGUGGUACGUCUAUACAAUGGAAUACUCUCAGCAAUCAAGAGGAAACAGACAAUUGAUAGACACAGCAGUGUAGAUGAAUAUCAAAUGCAUCAUGCUAAGUAAAAGAAACCAUUCUCAAAAGGCAACAUAAAUACUGAAUGAUUCCACUUAUAGGACAUUCCAGAAAAUGCAAAGCAGAAAAGAGAUGAGUGUUUGCCAGGAGCUGGUGAUGGGAACUAGUGGUGGCUCCAAAGGGGCAUGUGGGAAUUUCUUGGGGUGAUGGAACUGUUCUGUAUCUGGAUUGUAGUGGUGGUUACAAGACUAUGGAUUUGUCAAACUUCACAGGACUGUACACUAUAAAGGGUGAACUUUACUGUUUAUAGAUUAUACUUCAAUUUUUUAAAAAAAGAGAAAAAAGAAUGACUAGGAGUAAGCCAGGAGAGAAGGGAAAAGGGCACUCCAUGCAGAAGGACCCCAUUGUGCACAAGCUGAGAGAGAGCACCACAUAUGAGAGGACAUGAAAGAAGUUCAGGAGUGGAACUUAAAGAGUUUGAGGGGGGGAGAAAUGAAACUGGUCGGCAAGGGCCAGAUCAUAAUGGGUUUGUAGGCGACGUUAGAGAAUUUAAACUAUUUUGAAGACAGUAGGAGGAUCUUAAGCUAGGUGUGUCAAGGUCAGCUCUCUGUUUUACUAAGAUCACACUGGUUGCUGUGAGAGAACAGACUGGAGGGAGGGAAGUGGCAUGAGGGAGAUCAGAUAGCAAACUAUUAUAGAGGUUAGGAAAGCGACAAAAGGAGCUUGGAGUAGGGUGAGAGAAAAUGAUUGGAGACAGACCUAAAAGGUAGCAUUAACAAGACUUGCUGAUGGCUAAUGGGAAUAAAAGAGAAGAGGGGCCAAGAGUGACUCCCAAAUAGCCUAUGUGUGCAACCAGGUGGUGAUUAUGUCAUCUGCUGAGAUGAGGAAGAGGCCUCACUUGUCCAGGGCAGCAGCUUGACUUCACAUUGCCUGUCAUUGGCGCAGCAUGGCUUCUGCUCACCGCAAUACAACUAGCCAUUUUUUACUCUUGGGAUCUGGGAAGCCAGGGCCCCUGCCCUGGACUGUGUACUUGAGAGGACCUUGCUCUGGCUCUCCUCCAGCUACACUCUACAGAACGAAGAGACCACAAGGCCAAGAAUUUAAGCUCCACAAGAACAGAAGUUUUUGGUAUAUUUUGUUCACCGAGGAUUCCCAAGCCUGUAGAACAGUGCUGGCACACAGUAGGUGCCCAAUAAAUAUUUUUGGAAUAAAUGAAA